rnacentral:rRNA from 1 species
AUUGAACGCUGGCGGAAUGCUUUACACAUGCAAGUCGAACGGCAGCACGGACUUCGGUCUGGUGGCGAGUGGCGAACGGGUGAGUAAUGUAUCGGAACGUGCCCAGUCGUGGGGGAUAACGUAGUGAAAAUUACGCUAAUACCGCAUACGAUCUAUGGAUGAAAGCGGGGGAUCGCAAGACCUCGCGCGAUUGGAGCGGCCGAUAUCAGAUUAGGUAGUUGGUGGGGUAAAGGCCCACCAAGCCAACGAUCUGUAGCUGGUCUGAGAGGACCACCAGCCACACUGGAACGGAGACACGGUCCAGACUCCUACGGGAGGCAGCAGUGGGGAAUUUUGGACAAUGGGCGAAAGCCGGUUCCAGCCAUUCCGCGUGGAGGAUGAAGGCCCUCGGUUUGUAAACUGCUUCUGUACAGAACGGAAAGGUUUCUACUAAUACUAGGAGCUCAUGACGGUACUGUAAGAAUAAGCACCGGCUAACUACGUGCCAGCCGCCGCCGUAA